rnacentral:misc_RNA from 1 species
AGAAGUAAAAGUCGUAACAAGGUUUCCGUAGGUGAACCUGCGGAAGGAUCAUUAUUGUAUAACCGAGGUGCGAGGGCUGUCGCUGACCCGAAAGGUCGUGCACGCCCGAGUGCCCUCACACACAUCCAUCUCACCCCUAUGUGCACCACCGCGUGGGUCCCCCUUUGGCUUGUUCGGAGGGGGGCUUACGUUUUCACACAAACUUUGUAUGCAGUGUAGAAUGUAUUUUUUGUUUUUGCGAUCACGCAAUCAAUACAACUUUCAACAACGGAUCUCUUGGCUCUC